ensembl:misc_RNA Metazoa_SRP Metazoan signal recognition particle RNA
GCUGGGCGUGGUGGUAGGCGCCUGUAAUCCCAGCUACUUGGGAGGCUGAGGCAGAAGAAUUGCUUGAACCCAGGAGGCAGAGAUUGCAGUGAGAGCGUGCGCCACUGCACUCUAGCCUGGGUGUCAAAGCGAGACUCUGUCUCAA